rnacentral:lncRNA from 1 species
GGGCUGUGCGGCUGUGAAAAAUUCCCAAGUGAUCAUAUCUGGAAACCAGUAGGUAAACAAGACAAACUAUCUAUGAAUAUUAUAUAUCUCCCCAAAAGAGGUUUGGUUUGUGAAAUCAGCUGUAUUUACAAAGUACAACCUUUAUAUUUCGGUUGUUGGAUGCUUACUUAGAUAUAGUGAACUUAUGUACAAACAUAUGAAGAUACGGUAUGAUUGCCAAUGAGACGACUGUCAACCAUACACCAAAUGACUUAGAUGUAAGCAACAACUGAUAAAUAAGUCAGACUCUCCUGCAUUCACUAAUACUGCAUUAGUGUUGGUUACCAAAUAUUAUUUUUUGGAACAGAAACUGCUAACCCUUACGGAGCACAUGAGUUCAUAUCUACAGGUGAUGGGGGCAUUAGUGUGGGCAACCAUUAUUCUCUAUUGGAACAGAAACUGCUAACCCUCACGGAGCACCUGAGUUCAUAUCUACAGCUGGUGGGGGCAAAAGUGUUGGUUACCAAAUAUUCUCUAUUGGAACAGAAACUGCUAACCCUUACGGAGGACCUGAGUUUAUAUCUACAGUUGGUGGGGGCAUUAGUGGUGGUUACCAAAUAUUCUCUUUUGGAACAGAGUCUGCUAACCCUUACGGAGCACCUGAGUUCAUAUCUACAGCUGGUGGGGGCAUUAGUGUGGGUAAACACAUAUUCCUGUUUGGAACAGAAACUGCUAACCCUCACGGAGUACCUGAGUUCAUAUCUACAGCUGGGUGGGGGCAUUAGUGGUGGUUACCAAAUAUUCUCUUUUGGAACAGAGUCUGCUUACCCUUACGGAGCACCUGAGUUCAUAUCUACAGCUGGUGGGGGCAUUAGUGUGGGUAAACACAUAUUCCCUGUUGGAACAGAAACUGCUAACCCUCACGGAGCACCUGAGUUCAUAUCUACAGUUGGUGGGGGCAUUAGUGAUGGUUACCAAAUAUUUUCUUUUGGAACAGAGUCUGCUAACCCUUACGGAGAACCUGAGUUCAUAUCUACAGCUGGUGGGGGCAUUAGUGUUGAUAACCAAAUAUUCUCUAUUGGAACAGAAACUGCUAACCCUCUCGGAGCACCUGAGUUCAUAUCUACAGCUGGUGGGGGCAUUAGUGGUGGUUACCAAAUAUUCUCUAUUGGAACAGAAACUGCUAACCCUCACGGAGCACCUGAGUUCAUAUCUACAGCUGGUGGGGGCAAAAGUGUUGGUUACCAAAUAUUCUCUAUUGGAACCAUCUUCGCUAGCCAAGGGUUACGAUCCACUCCCUUUCUUUUUUUGAAGAGAAAGGGAGUGGAUUGUAACCCUUGGCUAGCGAAGAUGUAUUGGAACAGAAACUGCUAACCCUUACGGAGCAC